AUGAUUGCUUCAGCAAUAGCCAUCAUCCUCCUCUUUCUUACCUUCCUCUGGUCUCUCAUCCAGAGGCCGAGAUACCAAAAACUGCCUCCUGGUCCUUGGGCGCUGCCAGUCAUUGGUAAUCUCCAUAUGCUAGGCAACCUCCCACACCGCAGCCUCCGAGACCUGGCCAAAAAAUAUGGACCCAUAAUGUCCAUGCGUCUAGGCACCAAAACUACCAUAGUGGUCUCAUCCCCUGAAGCUGCAGAGCUAAAUUCUUGAAAAUCCAUGACACCAUUUUUGCCAGCCGCCCCAAAGUCCAAUCCUCCGACUACUUGUCGUACGGCACAAAGGGCAUGGGUUUCAGUGAAUAUGGUCCAUACUGGCGGCAUAUUAGGAAGUUGUGCACGCUGCAGCUUCUUUGUCCAUCAAAGAUUGAGGCUUUUGCUCCAUUGAGGAGAGAAGAGGUGGGUUUGUUGGUUGAGUCGCUGAAGAAAGCCGCAGCGGAGGGCCAAGCGGUGGAUCUUAGUGAGAAGGUUGGUGAGCUGAUUGAGGGCAUAACGUAUAGGAUGGUGCUGGGGAGCAAAAAUGAUGAUACGUUUGAUGUGAAGGGAAUUAUUGAGGAGAUCAUAUUGUUGACAAGGGCAGUCAACAUUGGUGAUUAUUUGCCUUUCCUCAGUCCAUUUGAUUUUCAGGUACGUAAAGAAAGCAUGUUAAUUUUUGCAGCAUUCAUAUCUAUUUUCCUUAUAAUCAAUAGUAAAUUUCGCUUACCCUCCAAAUUGAAUUUUCCUUAACUGCAAUUCAUCACUUUUCGUUCCUAUUAAUAGGAGUGUCAUUAUAAUGGAUACAAUAUAAAGAUUCAACCUCAGCCCCCACCUAAAAUGUUAAUUUUAUAUCUAGUUUUAAAUUCUUGUUAAAUACUGCCUAACCCUAUCUCGAGAAAAAUCCACACUUAGGCCAUGUUUGGUAUGCCUCAUUAUGCCUCACUGGACUGGACUAUGCUAUAUAAUACUUAAAACUCAUGUUUGGUAAUUAAAAAAAAGAGAUUAAGUUAAGUGGGAUUGUAUAGUCCAUCAGUGUAAAAAACCCUGGACUUGCUUGUCUAACAUAGCGAUGCCGAAAUGUGGUUAGCAAAAUAGCGAGAGCACUAUUUUGAACACGCGAGUCCGAAACUGCUUGAAUCAAGUUCAAAACCCCACCACCACAGUUCCAAUCAAAACUUGCUGAUGAGUCUCAAUUAGCUAUAGUUGCCGCUCCAAGUUGGCUUGGGCUAGUCAAAAGGCAAAUUGAUAUAUAGACAUAAACUCAAGAAACCAACAAACCAAAAAGUUCAAUAUCCAAUAAUAUGAUUGAACCAUUGGCCAAAUUGAAAGGGAAGGAGGAAAAGCUUUCCUGGUGGAAUUCAAAAGACAGAGAAAGAGCUCAAAUCAAUGAGUUGGCUCUGUCAUCUAGCAAGUCUCUGCCAAUAAAGAACUCCAACAAUAGAAGCGGAAGUAGAUCUAGCUAGCCCAAAGGCCAAUUGAAAGACCCAAAAUCAAAACUAGGGAGGCCAAGGAAGCAAGCUUCCUUAUUUUUUCUGCAGCAAGGAGAUGAAGGUUUUGGGUUAGUUUGGAGAAAUAUGGUGGUUUCGAGAGAUAAAGAAAGAAAAAGUGUUUUUGAAUGGUUUGGGGGCUUUUUUGUUGGAAAAAGAGAGAUUUUUUUUUUUUUUUUUGGGGUGGUCACAGUGGAAAAAGAAAGGUAGGUAGAAAAAAAAAAAAUUUGAAUGAAAUAGGAAGGAAAAAAGAAGAAGAAAAUAACAAAAAGAAGAGGGAGAGAGAGAGAGAGAGAGAGGUUUAGGGUUAGAAAAGAAGAAGAAAAGGCUGGAAAAAAAAAACUGAAAACAGAAAAAGAGAUAAAUUAAUAACAUAAUUAUUUUUUAGUCCGACACAGCACCAAACAUAGUUCUUCAUUAUUUUUACAAUCCAGCUCUUUAGCCUGACGCAGCACCAAACGUAGCUCAGUACUUAAUGCAGCUUAGGCCAAUUCGAACUAAUCCAAGACAGUCCUAUAAUUUAGUCCAGACAGUCUGCUGUACCAAACGACCCCUUAAGGGACACCACCACCACUACACUACAUGUGAGAUUUUAAGAAGAGUUAUCUGUCCUUUUACUUUGUGAAUUACACCAUAAUUGCCAAUUUAUUCUCUAGACAUUUUUUUUCUCGCUUCAAGUUCAACUACAUGAAAUAGGGCAAUUUAGAACUCCCCGUUAACUUUUUGAAUGUCCAUCAAAAUUUUGUGAAUAUUAAGGGCACAUUCGCAAUUUUAAAGAAAAAAAUACACCUUAUUAAAUAAUAGUAGAAAAAUUAUAUUAAAAAAAGUAAAAAAUUUGAUAUAGAUCCAAAUUCUCAUUGAGGAAUUGGGUUUAAUUCGGAUUUGCUGACUUUAAUCUAAGUCCUUUGAUUUUUGUGCUACAUAGAAUUACAUUCAUUUUUAAAUAUUUUUUAUGUAAUCUUUUUAUUAUAUUAUUUUUAAAAUCAAUUUUUGUUCCAAUGUUGCCCCUUAUGACUUGAAUCAGGUAAUAGUCAUUUAUGUCAUAUUGCCUAAACCCUAAACCCUGUUGCCUAUUGCAUAGGUAUAUAUAUAUAUAUAUAUAUAUAUAUAUAUAUAUAUAUGUUUUUUCAUAUUUUCGACAAUGUGUAAUAGUAUUUUAUGUACCUUUUUUAAGGUAACAUACAAUUUUAUUUUGUCUAUUUUUUGUACUUGACUUGCAAGUAGUCUUUUAAUUUAUGUUCCUCAGUCUUCUAAUUUGUGUUUCUAGCUUAUAGUAACACGAUUUAUCACUAA
rnacentral:lncRNA from 1 species